AGAUUUCUUCAAACAGAUCGCAUCAUCAAGGUCAAUAAGAAAACAGGAUUACCCAUGAUAAAUCUGUACACAGACCGAGAGACAGGGAAGCUUAAAGGGGAGGCUACUGUUUCCUUUGAUGACCCUCCUUCUGCAAAAGCAGCCAUCGAUUGGUUUGAUGGUAAGGAUUUUAGUGGAAAUCCUAUCAAGGUGUCCUUCGCUACUCGCAGAGCUGA